ensembl:lncRNA
GGAAGGGGUGGAGCCAGGAUCCAUCCCUUUCCCAGCCCUCAUUUAAGGGUUGGCAGUGGGGGGUGAGGGUGUUUUGCUGGAGAUCCCUGCCUGCCUGAGGUCUUCUAAAGCCCUGUGUGCCAUGGUCUUCAACGCUGGAUGGAGGAAAGAGGUUUGAAGGGCGUAGCUGCAGCAUCCCGAGGAUGUGACACAGGAGAUGGAAGUUGUCAGGAGAGCCACACACCUCCAGCAUCCUCCAGAGCGUGCAUAUGGAGCUGACACUCAAUAAAUAAUACAGGAUUCAGGAUUGAGAUGCAGGGAAGCGCUGUGCUCAGAUGGAGUGCUGUAGGCUCAGAUUGCUGCCCAAUGUCCUGGAGUGGGAAGGGGAAAGCAUCAGUGGGGCAGAAGAGCCCAGACCGGUGUUAGUCCUUGGCAGAAGAGCUUUUCCUUGCUUGGAGCAAGCAGCAGCACUGGGCUUGGGGUUACAUUCAGUGCUCUGUGCUCCCCACUGCCAGGCUGCGAUCUGCUGAUGCUCUAUGCGGUAAUUAAUGCACCGCUAAUUGGAUUUCCAGGGCCUGGAGCUGAGGGGCAGCGGCUGCAGCAGGGGAAGGGACUGAGAGCUUUGCCCACAUCCCCCAGCAUAGCUCUGCACCCGAUGCCCCACUGCUGAUAGUGAUGGGCACCACUUCUCCCCUUCUCCAACAAUCCAUUGCCCGUCUGCAUUAAUGCCUUCCCUCCUUUUUGGUCACCUAAUUCAACAGAGGGGAUUAAAGCAUAACUCCCAUAGCACAGAGGCUGCAGCAAGCUGUGGUUCCCCCAAGUUCCUGAUGGAGCACAGCCCCUCUCCAAAUUAUUCCCAGCAACAGACUAUGGCUUCUUGUCCACCUUGCAAACUGAGGGGGGAGGGCUGGGAAGACCUUUUAUUUUAUUAUCAUGGAUUAAUCAUCGUAAGGGGAGCACGAAGGAUAGGUCAUAAUAAUGGGGGUUUGAAUUACACUUCUAAACUUGGGGCCCCUAAGCCUAAUGAAAUGAGAGUGCACAGCUCAGAGCCAGGUUAAGAGGCUGUGGUGGCUGCUGCCCCUAUGGGAGCACCCGGUGCUGCCUUCCUGAGAGCUCCCAGGGGUCGGAUGGGUUGCAGAGGAGGAGUGUGAGGCACAGCUCAGAGCAGGUCCUGCUCCUGCCUCGGUGUGGGGCUGUCACAGUGUUUGGCUCAUAGCAGCAGGGCCUGAUGCAGAGGGGCCCCACUGGAGGCAGAAAGUCCCUUUGGGGUGAAAAGCCUCGCAGGACAGGGAUGAGCUGCAGGUGAAGUCUGCUGUGUCCAUCCAGCCCCCCCCCCCGCACUGAUGUCUGGGGCUUUGCCACCCCAAUGGGCAUCAGCAGUGCAGAUGGAGACAACAGCUCCAUCCAACUGUGUGUGCCCAACACCCUCCAACACCCUCGAUGACUCCGUGUCUUCAUUUCCAUCAUUCAGCACUAAAUUCUAUCACUUCCAUCAGACAGAGCUGUGAAGAAGGAAUUCUCCUUCACCUGAGUGCCCUUCCCCAGCACCACCGCCUUGCACAACCGCACUGCUUGCAUGGAGGAUCGAUGCCAUCCUCCCUCCUAACACACAGGAAAUGGGGCUCCGUUUCAUUUCUCCUUCCCAUUUUCACUCUUCCUUCCCAAGGAUGCACACUGCUCCACAUACCCGCUGUAACCCGGGCUGCCCCGGGGGAUUUACAGCCUCCAUCCAGUUUUAUUGUUGAUACAGAUCUUUAUCUGCCCCGGGCUUAUAGCUGACAUUUAAAUUACACUGCAAACAAUGAAUCAAUAUUUAUGGAUUACCGGUCCAAUACAUUCACCCAACGAGUUGUUAUGGGAUUCGGUCUCCCAGCAAACAGGACAAUGAGGUCAAGGUCAAGGCUUUGUCUGAUGAGAAACAGGCGCAGACAGGAGCUGCCAGCCCAAUAUUGACUGCCUAAUAGGAAUGCAUUUAUGUUGGUCAUUUAGCUGCACGCAUUGAGCUCUUUGUUAAUUUUCCCAUUCUUGUCAUUUUCCUGCUGAUAAUUGUUCAUAAUUUAAAGCCCUGAGCCCGGAGUGCUUCUCCUGCCCACAGCAACACAGGAGCAGAGGUGCCCAUGUGGAGCAGUGUGCACACUCAUACUCGUGCUCACGCUUGUGUAAUCCUGGUGCAUGCGGAGCUUGGGUUAUCUGCUGUGUUGGAGCAGAAAUGAUGCUAUUUGCUAUUCUGUUUCACUUCUGUGCCACCUGGCAACUUAGGAACACUGAGUUAUUACAUUUUGUGUGGCCAUCGGAAAGCAGAGGGAGACUAUUGCUUUGAUGAGAGGGCUACAAUUUGCUAAGCCUUGGCUCCUGGCUUCCCAGAGCUGCACAGCGCUGCCAGCUGAGCACAAACAAGUGUACAGAAGCGCGAUGUAGGUGAGCUGGAGGACCUUCUUAAUCCCCCGACGUAAUGAGCGCUCCCCGCAGACGGCGCAGCGCUGCGGCCGCAGCUCAGGGUCCGGGACGUCCCCUCCGUCCGUCGGAGGGUCCCUAUCUGACAACGAGCGGUCCCCGCAGCGGCCAAAGGACCCGAAAGGAUCCGAAAGGACCGCGGGGUCCCCGGGAGCGGCAACGGGAGCGGUCGGGGACUGCGGCUGCGGUGGGAAGAAAGCACUUUGAAGGGCUGUUAGGAGCCCCAAAUGAGGAUGGAACCCAAAUGACACGAAGGAAUAAUCCUCCGCUCGGCCCUGAAAGGAUUAUUCUAAUUACUUUGAUUAUUAAAGAUCAGACAGA